GACGAACCGAGCGAACGUUAUUCGGAAUCACUGGGCUUAAAGGGCGCGUAGGCGGGCGGUCAAGUCAGGGGUGAAAGCCCCCAGCUCAACUGGGGAAGUGCCUCUGAUACUGGUCGUCUCGAGGGAGGUAGGGGCGUGCGGAACUUCCGGUGGAGCGGUGAAAUGCGUAGAUAUCAGGAGGAACACCUGCGGUGUAGACGGCUUACUGGACCAUCACUGACGCUGAGGCACGAAAGCGUGGGUAGCAAACAGG
rnacentral:rRNA from 1 species